CAACAGAGCCUCGUCCAUAAGUGCUGGUGACCAUCCUUGUCCACUCAAGCACAGAGCUUGCCUGAGAAUGAAGAUCAAAGCAAAAGAAAGCCAAGAGUCAAACGAUGCAGAAAAAGAGAGUUUGAGUGACACCAUUUGAACAUCUGAAUCUAGUUAUGUGAAUCACCCACAGCUGGUGUAUUCCUUGAACGACAGCCUGAUGUUACCAUGCGGAGUGAAGCGUGAUUUGCUGCCUGCUCUCAAUGUGUGCAGUCCUGCCUCGUGGACACCUCAAAGUCUCCUUGCAGGGACGGUCCAGAGAAGGCUGCACCUCUCCACGCAGAGUCUAUGGAAAUGACGUCAUUCUCAGAGCAUGUCAUCCAGAGGUACGGAUGUCCAUUUGAUCAUUUUGUCAAGGGUUGAGUGACCAUCACCAUUAUCUGAUUGGAGAAUAUUUUCAUCAUCACAAAAAGAAAACGCAUACCCUUUAGCAGUCACUUCUCCCCUCACCCAGCCCUUGGUAACCACCAAACUACUUUCUUUAGAGAUUUGCCUGUAACAUACAUUUCAUAUUGAUGGACUCCCACCUUGAUUGUCUGUGACUGGCUUCUUUCAUGUGGCAUAAUAUUUUCAAGGUUUUUCAUGUGGUAACAUGUAUAUCCUGAUUUCCUUUCU